AAAACGACUCUYGGCAACGGAUAUCUCGGCUCUCGCAUCGAUGAAGAACGUAGCGAAAUGCGAUACUUGGUGUGAAUUGCAGAAUCCCGUGAACCAUCGAGUCUUUGAACGCAAGUUGCGCCCCAAGCCGUUAGGCCGAGGGCACGUCUGCCUGGGUGUCACGC
rnacentral:rRNA from 1 species